rnacentral:rRNA from 1 species
CCCAGACUCCUACGGGAGGCAGCAGUGAGGAAUAUUGGUCAAUGGGCGGGAGCCUGAACCAGCCAAGCCGCGUGAGGGAAGAAGGUACAGCGUAUCGUAAACCUCUUUUGUCAGGGAACAAAGGCGGGGACUAGUCCCCGGAUGAGGGUACCUGAAGAAAAAGCAUCGGCUAACUCCGUGCCAGCAGCCGCGGUAAUACGGAGGAUGCGAGCGUUAUCCGGAUUUAUUGGGUUUAAAGGGUGCGCAGGCGGCGUGUUAAGUCGGCGGUAAAAGCCCGGGGCCCAACCCCGGCGAGCCGUUGAAACUGGCGUUCUUGAGUGGGCGAGAAGUAUGCGGAAUGCGUGGUGUAGCGGUGAAAUGCAUAGAUAUCACGCAGAACUCCGAUUGCGAAGGCAGCAUACCGGCGCCCAACUGACGCUGAAGCACGAAAGCGUGGGUAUCGAACAGGAUUAGAUACCCGCGUAC